rnacentral:rRNA from 1 species
GUCGAACGAUGAAGCCCUUCGGGGUGGAUUAGUGGCGAACGGGUGAGUAACACGUGGGCAAUCUGCCCUUCACUCUGGGACAAGCCCUGGAAACGGGGUCUAAUACCGGAUAACACCGGCUUUCGCAUGGAAGCUGGUUGAAAGCUCCGGCGGUGAAGGAUGAGCCCGCGGCCUAUCAGCUUGUUGGUGGGGUAAUGGCCCACCAAGGCGACGACGGGUAGCCGGCCUGAGAGGGCGACCGGCCACACUGGGACUGAGACACGGCCCAGACUCCUACGGGAGGCAGCAGUGGGGAAUAUUGCACAAUGGGCGAAAGCCUGAUGCAGCGACGCCGCGUGAGGGAUGACGGCCUUCGGGUUGUAAACCUCUUUCAGCAGGGAAGAAGCGAAAGUGACGGUACCUGCAGAAGAAGCGCCGGCUAACUACGUGCCAGCAGCCGCGGUAAUACGUAGGGCGCAAGCGUUGUCCGGAAUUAUUGGGCGUAAAGAGCUCGUAGGCGGCUUGUCACGUCGGGUGUGAAAGCCCGGGGCUUAACCCCGGGUCUGCAUCCGAUACGGGCAGGCUAGAGUGUGGUAGGGGAGAUCGGAAUUCCUGGUGUAGCGGUGAAAUGCGCAGAUAUCAGGAGGAACACCGGUGGCGAAGGCGGAUCUCUGGGCCAUUACUGACGCUGAGGAGCGAAAGCGUGGGGAGCGAACAGGAUUAGAUACCCUGGUAGUCCACGCCGUAAACGUUGGGAACUAGGUGUUGGCGACAUUCCACGUCGUCGGUGCCGCAGCUAACGCAUU